AGCGAACGCUGGCGGCAGGCUUAACACAUGCAAGUCGAGCGGGCGUAGCAAUACGUCAGCGGCAGACGGGUGAGUAACGCGUGGGAACGUACCUUUUGGUUCGGAACAACCCAGGGAAACUUGGGCUAAUACCGGAUAAGCCCUUACGGGGAAAGAUUUAUCGCCGAAAGAUCGGCCCGCGUCUGAUUAGCUAGUUGGUGAGGUAACGGCUCACCAAGGCGACGAUCAGUAGCUGGUCUGAGAGGAUGAUCAGCCACAUUGGGACUGAGACACGGCCCAAACUCCUACGGGAGGCAGCAGUGGGGAAUAUUGGACAAUGGGCGCAAGCCUGAUCCAGCCAUGCCGCGUGAGUGAUGAAGGCCCUAGGGUUGUAAAGCUCUUUGUGCGGGAAGAUAAUGACGGUACCGCAAGAAUAAGCCCCGGCUAACUUCGUGCCAGCCGCCGCCGAAC
rnacentral:rRNA from 1 species